rnacentral:lncRNA from 1 species
GCAGUUCCCCAGGAAACAGCUUCCGGCAGACACUCAAUCUCCAGUUGUAACAGGUGGUGUGGAGUCCGCUGUCCCAGGGAGUGGGCUCAAGGCCUAGUCCUGCCAAUGAACUUGCUGUAGAAACUUUUCUGUCUAUCAAAUGAGGUUGGAAUGCACUGGUGCAAUAAUUGCUCACUGCAGCCAUGACCUCCCAUGCUCAAGCAAUCCUCCCACCUCAGCCUCCCACGUAGCUGGGACUACAGGUGAGUGCCACCAUACCCGACUAAUUUUUGUAUUUUUUGUAGAGAUGGAGUUUUGCCAUGUUGCCCAGGCUGGUCUCCAACUCCUGGGCUCAAGUGAUCCUCCGACCUCGGCCUCCCAAACUGCUGGGAUUACAGUCUUGAGCCACUGCACCCGGCCUAUUCUCACUUUCUGAAUGGCUUUGGGCAAGUCACAAUCUCUGUGUGCUUCAGUUUCUUCUCUGAAGUGGGAAUGGCAAGCUGGACACCCUGAGCGUGUGUCUGUAGUCCCAGCUUCUGGGGCUGAGGCCAGGGGUUCAAGGCUAUAGUGUGCCAUGAUCACUCCUACGAAUAGCCAGUGCACCCCAACUCGAAAAAAAUUUAAAAGACCAGGCAUAGUGGCUCACACCUAUAAUCCCAGUACUUUGGGAGGCCAAGGUGAGAGGAUCACUUGAGCCCAGGAGUUGGAGACCAACCUGGGCAACAUAAUGAGACUCUGUCUCAUUUAUAACGACAACAACAACAAAAGGUAAAAAAUAAACAGUGGGGGCUCAUGUGAGAAAAGCUAUAAAAACAGAGAAUAUUGGCUGUUAAAUAUUGAUGUUUGCAGGUUGUCAGGAAAGGAAUCUUGUAGAGAAUAUAGAACUCCUGGCCCCUUUCCUAAAGGUUCUGAUGCAGUGGGUCUGGCAUGGGGCCAGGCCUCUGUUAGCAAGGGCCCCAGUGACGUUUAUCAGUUAGCGAAUUUGAAAAUCACUGUCUUAGGCCGGGCGCGGUGGCUCAUGUCUGUAAUCUCAGCACUUUGAGAGGCCGAGGCAGGUGCAUCACCUGAGGUCAGGAGUUCCAGAUCAGCCUGGUCAACACAGUGAUACCCCGUCUCUACUAAAAAUACAAAAAAUUAGCUGGGUGUGGUGGCAGGCACCUAUAAUACCAGCUACUCGGGAGGCUGAGGCAGGAGAAUUGCUUGAACCCGGGAGGCCGAGGUUGCAGUGAGCCAAGAUCAUGCCACUGCACUCCAGCCUAGGCAACAAGAGUGAAACUCCAUCUCAAAAAAAAAAAAAAAAAAAAAAAAGGAAAAGAAAAUCACUGGCUUGGGAGAAAUUCCAAUUCCUGACUUUGCCCCUUAUACCUGAACAAGUCAUCACACUUCCAUAAUCCUGAUUUCCUCAUCUCUAAAAUAAUAAUAAUAUGGCUGGACACAGUGGCUCACACCUGUAAUCCUAACACUUUGGAAGGCCGAGGCAGGUGGAUCACUUGAGGUCAGAAUUUCGAGACCAGCCUGGGCAACAUGGUGAAACCCUGUCUCUACUAAAAAUACAAAAUAAUUAGCCGGGCGUGGUGGCAGACAUCUGUAAUUCCAGCUACUCGGGAGGAUGAGGCAGGAGAAUCGCUUGAAUCCGGCAGGCAGAAGUUGCAGUGAGCCAAGAUAGUGCCACUGCACUCCAGCCUGGGUACCAGAGCAAGACUGUCUCAAAAAAUAAAAAAAUAAAUAAUAAUAAUAAUAAUAAAAAUAUUACUAACCUCAGUGGUUCCUAGUAGGAGUUGACGACGGUUCUCAACCGAGGGUGAUUUUUUUUUCCCCAGAGGAUAUUUGACAAUGUCUGGAGAAAGUUUUGGUUACAACCAGGUGUGGUGUUGCCCCUGGCAUCUGUGAAUGGAGGCCAGGGAUGUUGCUAACCAUCAGACAACACACAGGACAGCCCCCGAAGCAAAGAAUGAGCCAGCCCAAAAUGUCAGUAGCGCCAAGGUUGGGAAACUCUGGGUUAAACUUAUUAAUGCACCAUGUGCUCUCAGGAGGGUAGAGGCCAAGAAGCAUUUUCUGUUGACUUAGCACAAACAAAGUUGCCCACAACAUAAAGGGCUUUCCCAGUCCAGGAAAAUGGAGUAAAGUGCUGGGUGUGAAGAAGGUCAGAGCCAGAGUGAGACCCAUUGUUCUGCAUGAGAGGGGGUGGGGAGAGUGGCAGUGACGCCAGAAAUCUCUGAGUGUGACUCACUGAGAGAAGCCAGCUGGAUGGCAGGGUUGCCAGAGCCUUUGUUCCAAGCUGCAUUUGAGUAGUGAGCUUGAGGUUUUUCCACAGAAGCUUCUCCAUUUCCACCUUUGCAAACUCUGGACUCCAAGGACGCAAGAUGGCCGGAAACAAGAUGGUGGAGCAUGAAGGCCCUUGCCAGAUGACAGCACUAUGCCCUUGGACUCCCCAGCCUCCAUAACCAUGGGCCAAAUAAACUUCUAUUGUUUUAAAUUGCCCAGUCUGUGGUAUUCUAUCAUAACAGCACAAAAUAGACUAAAACAAUGCUCUACACUGGCUGCCAGAGUUCCCUGAUGGGAUUGUGCUCCAGUUGUCCACAGUAGUAACUUGCUGGAUAAUACUUCCUGUUUCCGCAGGCUUCUCUUCUCUGUCUCAUUCCCUCAAUCCCCUAAUGGUGCUUUCUGGGAUCAUCUCCCAAAUAAUCCACUUGCACCUCAAAUCCUCAUCUCAGAGUCUGCUUCUGAGGGAGCCCAAACAAAGGCAUGAAACCUUUCCCAUUCCCCAGUCUCAGUCUAUAUGGUUAAAGUGGGCCUGAACCCCAUUCUAGGAUGGGUCAGACUCAGGUCUGACCAAUGACACCACCAUACCUCUUUUAGGUACAGGGAUGGUUCAGGGAUGACCAUUUGAACUCAAAC